AGAACGAACGCUGGCGGCGCGCUUAACACAUGCAAGUCGAGCGCCCUGGUUUCGGCCAGGGAGCGGCGGACGGGUGAGUAACGCGUGGGAACCUGCCCUGGGGUUCGGGACAACCGCGGGAAACUGCGGCUGAUACCGGAUAUCUCCUUUGGGAGAAAGACUUGUCGCCCUGGGAUGGGCCCGCGUCGGAUUAGGUAGUUGGUGAGGUAACGGCUCACCAAGCCUGCGAUCCGUAGCCGGUCUGAGAGGAUGAUCGGCCACACUGGGACUGAGACACGGCCCAGACUCCUACGGGAGGCAGCAGUGGGGAAUCUUGGACAAUGGGCGAAAGCCUGAUCCAGCGACGCCGCGUGGGUGAUGAAGGCCUUCGGGUUGUAAACCUCUUUCAGGCGGGACGAAGCCACUCGGGUUAAUAGCCCAGAGGGUGACGGUACCGCCAGAAGAAGCACCGGCCAACUACGUGCCAGCAGCCGC
rnacentral:rRNA from 1 species